AUUAGCAGGAAGUCUCAAUUGCCAAUAGGAUUCUCAAAGGGGUUAUGGCCAGGUAGAAUCAAGUUCAGUUUUGAUGUCAACUCCAUACAAUCUUGUGAUCAAUGCUAGUUUGCCAAUUCAAUCAAGAUCAGUUCGGAAUUGGAAGUACUUCGAAAUUGCAGCAAGUUUUCACUUUUCAUUGAUUACAAAGCAACCGAAUGGUGGGCAUGUCAAUAAAGUACAAAUCAAGAACACCAGGUAUGUAAUUGCAAGCUAUAAUAAAAAGGUUUCCAAAUUGAGAAGCAAACAGAAAACCCAGGAAGAGUGUAAAUACGUUUAAAAUAACACAGCGAAACAACAUCUGGGAUUCCAGAAAAUAGCGUAAGCAAAAAAAAUUUCGUCAACGGUUCAGAUCGAUCCACCAGCCAAGCGCUAACGCGUGAGCUCACUAAUCAGUGGUCAA
rnacentral:misc_RNA from 1 species